rnacentral:rRNA from 1 species
UACGGGGGAGCAAGCGUUGUUCGGAUUUACUGGGCGUAAAGGGCGCGUAGGCGGCGUAACAAGUCACUUGUGAAAUCUCCGGGCUUAACCCGGAGCGGUCAAGUGAUACUGUCGUGCUAGAGUGCGGAAGGGGCUACUGGAAUUCUCGGUGUAGCGGUGAAAUGCGUAGAUAUCGAGAGGAACACCUGCGGCGAAGGCGGCAUCCUGGACCGAGAUUGACGCUGAGGCGCGAAAGCCAGGGGAGCAAACGGG